UACGUAGGGGGCAAGCGUUGUCCGGAUUUAUUGGGCGUAAAGAGCUCGUAGGCGGCUUGUUGCGUCGACUGUGAAAACCUGCGGCUCAACCGUGUGGUCUGCAGUCGAUACGGGCAGGCUGGAGUUCGGUAGGGGAGUGGGGAAUUCCUAGUGUAGCGGUGAAAUGCGCAGAUAUUAGGAGGAACACCGGUGGCGAAGGCGCCACUCUGGGCCGAAACUGACGCUGAGGAGCGAAAGCAUGGGUAGCAAACAGG
rnacentral:rRNA from 1 species